GACGAACGCUGGCGGCGUGCUUAACACAUGCAAGUCGAACGGAAAGUCCCUGCUUUGGGGGGGUGCGCUAGUUGCGAACGGGUAAGUAACACGUGGGUAACCUGCCAUUGACUUUGGGAGAACUUCAGGAAACUUGGGCUAAUACCGGAUAGGAGCUCCUGCUGCAUGGUGGGGGUGGGAAAGUUUCGGCGGUUGGGGGUGGACUCGCCGCUUAUCGGCUUGUUGGUUGGGUGGUGGGUUAGCCAGGCUUUGACGGGUGGCCGUCCUGAGCGGGUGACAGGACCAAUUGGGAUUGAGCUACGGCCCAGACUCCUCCGGGAGGCAGCAGUGGGGAAGAUUGCACAAUGGGAGGAAGCAUGACCAAGCACAGCCGUGUGGGGGAUGACGGCAUUCGCGUUGUAAACCGAUUUCGCCUGUGACGAAGCGCGAGUGACGGUAAUGGGUAAAGAAGCACCGGCUAACUACGUG
rnacentral:rRNA from 1 species